AUUGAACGCUGGCGGCAUGCUUUACACAUGCAAGUCGAACGGUAGACCCUUUCGGGGGUUGAGAGUGGCGAACGGGUGAGUAAUGCAUCGGAACGUACCCAGUCGUGGGGGAUAACGUAGCGAAAGUUACGCUAAUACCGCAUACGUCCUGAGGGAGAAAGCGGGGGACCGUAAGGCCUCGCGCGAUUGGAGCGGCCGAUGUCAGAUUAGCUAGUUGGUGGGGUAAAGGCCUACCAAGGCGACGAUCUGUAGCGGGUCUGAGAGGAUGAUCCGCCACACUGGGACUGAGACACGGCCCAGACUCCUACGGGAGGCAG
rnacentral:rRNA from 1 species